rnacentral:lncRNA from 1 species
UAUUUACUACAUAACAGGAGUUCUAUACAAAAUAAAUAAAUAAUUACAUUAUAAGGAGACAACGGUCCAGCAACCCAAAGUUGACUGGGAGACGACGACCUAGACCUCUCAUGAACUCGUCACAGCAUCCUCCAUGCGCCUCAUCUUGUGGUACCUGUUCUUGACCUGUGGGGGGGUGUGAGACAGCAAGAGUGAGCUCACAUACGUUCAUCGCUCAACAAGUUGUGGGGAAUAAUGUGCAUGAACUCGCCAAAGGUGGGAGCUCACGUGAAGUGUAAGGCUUACCAAAGAGGAUGGUUAGAGUUGAGCAUUGCUUUUAAAGUUGGUCAAAAUUUUAUUAGCAGUUACUAAGUAUAAGUAAAUACCAACCCAAUUAAGAAAAGUAAUAACAUCACCUGCGAUGCAAUGCAUAUGACAAAUUGAAUUUAGUUCCAUAAAUUAAUCAUGUGAGGGUCCGAGUUGCUCAUGACCGUGAGCACGGCUAGUAUACCAGUUUUACACUCUGCAGAGGUUGCACAUCUUUACCCACAAGUCAUGUUACCCAUCUGCCAAGGGAUCGCGACUUCCCAUACACCUCUACCGAGGAGGCGAGGCAGGGUAACACUACGAGGCCUUUACAAAGUUCCACUAGCUUCAGAAAACCCGCUACAGUUUAUAGGAAGCUCCAAUGCAGGGUUCUUGCCUGACCGCCAUCGCAGCAAAAUCAACUAAGGACCUCCCUACACUGACCACUCCCCUACUGCCCUUGCCCCUUUCGGGUAAGGUAGUCCUCCACUAGCUUUCCUAAUUAAUCAGCCAAGGGCGUCCAUAAACCCUUGUGGUAGCACUGUUUUCCCGGUGGUCGCUCCAUGUUCCAAUUAACAUAAUGAUCUUAUCAUGGACAGUGAUAAUAAACAGAUAAUAAAAGUGUGAUCAUGAAUAAUGUAUCUUCAUACCCAAAACCAUAUAAAGCACUAGCAAGUACUACCCAAAAAGUUCAGUGGUAAACAAGGUAUAAAGAUAGACAAACUAGGGUAACCUAUUGGGUCCCAUCAAAAUUAACCUAUGCAGAUCAUUAUGAUUAAUCAGAACAUGGCUGGGUAAAAAGAAGUGAUCAAGGGCACAACUUGCCUGGCACUUGAGAUUCUAGUUACCAGGGUGAUUCUUCAAAUCCUCGUGACCGCACUGCUAGUCGUAGCAAUACAAACAGAUAUGGUAUAGAAAAAAUUAACAUCACACCAAUCAUAAGUACAAACUGAAUAAUAAUGAUCUACGCGAUGAUACGAGAUCGUAGAUUCAAGAACCACUAGAUUCGGAGCUACGGUUAUAAAGUUAUGAUUUUCUAAAGGUUUAGGAGUCGGAUACAAAAGAAAUCAAGUGCAUAAUUUUAAUUUAUGUUUCAUAGCAAAAUAAAGUUACCGGUUAUAAACAAUAUUAUUAUGGAUUUAUUGCAACUGGAAUGCAUUAUGUUGGAGUUAAAAUAUAUUAAUUAUGCAUUUACUAAAAAAUUUUUCUAGAUUUAUUUUCACAUUUAAACCAUUUUCUAGGUUUAUCCUAAAAGAAUAUCACAUUCUUGGGCUGCGGGUAAAACUACAGAGAAGUUCAGGACUAAAUUAAUUAAAUCUAGGACCUAAAUGUAUUAAUCUUUACGCCCUACAUGGACAGCGGGUUAGUUUCGCUAUUUUUCAUGGACUCUUGGAAAACCGGCUUGCUGCUAAAAUCACGAGGAUAUUCCAAGCCGUCCGAUUCACAACCAGCGAUCUGGAUUAGAAGACCCACGUGCCGAACAGGUACACAACGCCUGCCUUUGGAUCAUAGAUCGAUGGUCCGAAAUCCAUCGUGAACUACUGUAUUACUAGCCAUCCGAUAUAAAUCCCACGGUGACUGCCCCGCCUUCGACCUCACCACCAACAGCACGCAAACAAAACUCGCACUCCUUCUCUAUCGUCUGCUAAACCUAGAGCGACGGCUGACUCAGCGGCAUCCUGCCCGGCUACGGUACCGCGCCAGCGCUCCAGGCCAUUAGCCUAUGCUCGAAAAGCAGAGGAAGAUAUCCCGCCAGAGGAGAUGCUCACCGCUGAUGAAGCGAACUGGUUGACGACGAUGCGUAGGCCCACGUCGAGGUGCAGGCACAACGGUCACAGCGAGCUCCGGCACCUGUGGCCACCACCGGUGGAGGGAAGAUCCACGCGCCAGAUGCCUGAUCUCGUGCUGGCGCAUGCGCAAGCAGUCUCCCUCGCAAAUUCCCUAGAAGGCGAGCGAUGCGUGGAACUCAGCUCCUACCCGGGCAUCCUUGCGGCAAUGGUGAGGGGCGGUUAUGGGGAGGAGUAGUUUUAUACCCAGAGCUGGGAUCCGAUCGGCUAGCGCCGAGCUGGCACAUGGGAAAGAUUUGUUCCAAGUUUGUUGCGAUGAAACUGGAAUGGAUAUCUACUGAGGCGGCGCUAGGAUCUCCUCUACGGUCGGCCAUACGGUUGCCAUACCAGAAGGGCCCAACUGCUAGUGAGUACGGGGUUUCACAACUGACCUCAUCCCUGACGCCACGAUGACGUCAGCACGACGGAAAUGAAUAAAGAAUGCGGUGUACGUGGGUGGUUCUGCGUGAGUGAGGUGACCGACGUGACUCUGGCUUAGACUACGGUUAUCGCUAAUUAUCAUUUAAAUAUUCCUAAGGUUUUAGCUUUUGAUUUAAAUUUUCUUUUCUAGUUUGGGUUCACGCCAUUUAAUGCAACAGUCAAAAAGUCUCGGCAUGUGCUACCCAUUUGAUUCAUAGUUUAUGUAAUUACUACUUAUUUUAAUUGAGUACGGAUCUUAUGGUUAUUCGUAGAAUAAAUGUCGAGUCACAUAACAAAUUACCCAACUUAUGAAUCUGCUACGCUCACAAAAUGAAAAUUACUCUUUUGAAUGUAUAGUACAUUUAAAGUUUGGUUCAUAUUUAUCCAAAGAGGGGACUGUGCAGUGUAUAAUUGUUACCAAGGUAUCUUUUUAACUUAAUUCUUUUGGGGAAAUAUUUCUAACCAUAUGAUUCAACAAAGGUGGGUUUUAAUCAUAUAGGAUCGUUUAUUUAAUCUCUUAUUAUAAAAGACUUUAUUCAAACCUGGGAAUACAAAUUCCUAAAUCUCAAUGUAGGAUUUUGGGCUUUACAAAUCCUACCCCCCUUAAAAAUAAUCUCGUCCUCGAGAUUUGUAAGAAAAGAGAUGCAGAAGGAUUGGUUUGUAAUUCAGCUUUUAGUCUAUCGUCAUUCCAAAAGUCGAGAGUCUCAAAAAAAUUCUUUGUGGGUGAUUAGAAGAGCAUAGGUAUAUGUAGGUAUAGCCACGUUAUUAUAUAGGCUAAAAGAGGGGUAGUUUAGAGCAAGAAUAGCCUCAGGUAAGAAAGUUUAUGGUGGGAAAGAACUCCGUGUUGAGUGGUAAGGCAUCUGAAGAUUGAGUUUGACUUCUCUCCUUCCUUGACGAGGUUGAUCUUGUCCUUUUUUUCUUGGUCUCAUUGAUUCGAGGUUAGUGUACAUCAUCAGAGUUACCGGAGUAUGGUUGAAGAUAGAUAUGGGUGAGAUGGACUACAUGAUGUAGGUUAAAGUUUGUUUGAUGUUAGGUGGGGAUAGACAGAUUAUGCAAUUCUUCAUGACUCUAUUGGUUGGGUAAGUUAUGUAACUUGUUAUAUAGGUCAAGUUGUUGUGUAUGGCCAAGUCGAUCUAAGUCACCAAUUUAGGCUUAAGUGAAUUAGGAGUAUGGCCAUAUCCUUUGUACUAGCAUUAAGUAACUUACUCUAGAUUAGAUCAUGAUAGAUUAGAUAGAAUCCAGAUUAGGUUGGUACAACUAGAUUAAACUAGUUAUGAUCUCAUUAUUUUGGAUUAGGUCCUGGUGGUUACUUUAGGAUCAGAUAAAUAUAGUGGUUAGGAUAAAACGAAUCUUUCAUGAUGAGAUGAAUUCAUUAAGAUAAGAGAGAAUCUUUUAAGAUAAGAUGGAUCUACUAAAAUAUGAUAGAUCUUUUUAAGAUGAGAUGGAUAUUGUUAGGCUAGAUACUUUAUUGAGGGAUAAUCUAGUUUGUCUAGUUAGUUUUAUAAGCAUUAUGUAUAUGCAGAUGUAAUUGUGGAUAUUACUCCACAACUCAUCACACUCAAUCAAAGAUCCAAAUCAGACAUGUAUCAUAAGAACAAAACAUUCAAAUUCAUAGAUAUCUAUAAAAAUAGUUUUAUUUUUGUUCCUAAGAGUAGGUCUCCUAUUCCAAAAAUUCACUUUAACCACAGGAUUCCAAAGUGUGAAAUCCAAGUUUGUCUUUAGAAGUGAAAAGGUAAGAAUAAUCAGAGUAAAGCGGAAAUAGAUGAGAAAAGAUUAAGAAAAGUUUAGAAAAGAAUCAGAGUAGCAAAGGUAAGUAGACAAUGGUUGUCCAGUUCUAUCUAGGUUUCGUCCUACAGUCAACAUUCCUCUGAUACCACUUCUGUCACACCCGGGUUUUAGGGCACCAAGACCCGGGCGCGAACAUAAUCACCAGGUGCGCUGGGACCAAGUCUCACACAUAUGAUGAAUCAUGGCACAGGAUCGAAUGUCACAUAUUUACUACAUAACAGGAGUUCUAUACAAAAUAAAUAAAUAAUUACAUUAUAAGGAGACAACGGUCCAGCAACCCAAAGUUGACUGGGAGACGACGACCUAGACCUCUCAUGAACUCGUCACAGCAUCCUCCAUGCGCCUCAUCUUGUGGUACCUGUUCUUGACCUGUGGGGGGGUGUGAGACAGCAAGAGUGAGCUCACAUACGUUCAUCGCUCAACAAGUUGUGGGGAAUAAUGUGCAUGAACUCGCCAAAGGUGGGAGCUCACGUGAAGUGUAAGGCUUACCAAAGAGGAUGGUUAGAGUUGAGCAUUGCUUUUAAAGUUGGUCAAAAUUUUAUUAGCAGUUACUAAGUAUAAGUAAAUACCAACCCAAUUAAGAAAAGUAAUAACAUCACCUGCGAUGCAAUGCAUAUGACAAAUUGAAUUUAGUUCCAUAAAUUAAUCAUGUGAGGGUCCGAGCUGCUCAUGACCGUGAGCACGGCUAGUAUACCAGUUUUACACUCUGCAGAGGUUGCACAUCUUUACCCACAAGUCAUGUUACCCAUCUGCCAAGGGAUCGCGACUUCCCAUACACCUCUACCGAGGAGGCGAGGCAGGGUAACACUACGAGGCCUUUACAAAGUUCCACUAGCUUUAGAAAACCCGCUACAGUUUAUAGGAAGCUCCAAUGCAGGGUUCUUGCCUGACCGCCAUCGCAGCAAAAUCAACCAAGGACCUCCCUACACUGACCACUCCCCUACUGCCCUUGCCCCUUUCGGGUAAGGUAGUCCUCCACUAGCUUUCCUAAUUAAUCAGCCAAGGGCGUCCAUAAACCCUUGUGGUAGCACUGUUUUCCCGGGUGGUCGCUCCAUGUUCCAAUUAACAUAAUGAUCUUAUCAUGGACAGUGAUAAUAAAUAGAUAAUAAAAGUGUGAUCAUGAAUAAUGUAUCUUCAUACCCAAAACAAUAUAAAGCACUAGCAAGUACUACCCAAAAAGUUCAGUGGUAAACAAGGUAUAAAGAUAGACAAACUAGGGUAACCUAUUGGGUCCCAUCAAAAUUAACCUAUGCAGAUCAUUAUGAUUAAUCAGAACAUGGCUGGGUAAAAAGAAGUGAUCAAGGGCACAACUUGCCUGGCACUUGAGAUUCCAGUUACCAGGGUGAUUCUUCAAAUCCUCGUGACCGCACUGCUAGUCGUAGCAAUACAAACAGAUAUGGUAUAGAAAAAAUUAACAUCACACCAAUCAUAAGUACAAACUGAAUAAUAAUGAUCUACGCGAUGAUACGAGAUCGUAGAUUCAAGAACCACUAGAUUCGGAGCUACGGUUAUAAAGUUAUGAUUUUCUAAAUGUUUAGGAGUCGGAUACAAAAGAAAUCAAGUGCAUAAUUUUAAUUUAUGUUUCAUAGCAAAAUAAAGUUACCGGUUAUAAACAAUAUUAUUAUGGAUUUAUUGCAACUGGAAUGCAUUAUGUUGGAGUUAAAAUAUAUUAAUUAUGCAUUUACUAAAAUUUUUUUCUAGAUUUAUUUUCACAUUUAAACCAUUUUCUAGGUUUAUCCUAAAAGAAUAUCACAUUCUUGGGCUGCGGGUAAAACUACAGAGAAGUUCAGGACUAAAUUAAUUAAAUCUAGGACCUAAAUGUAUUAAUCUUUACGCCCUACAUGGACAGCGGGUUAGUUUCGCUAUUUUUCAUGGACUCUUGGAAAACCGGCUUGCUGCUAAAAUCACGAGGAUAUUCCAAGCCGUCCGAUUCACAACCAGCGAUCCGGAUUAGAAGACCCACGUGCCGAACUGGUACACAACGCCUGCCUUUGGAUCAUAGAUCGAUGGUCCGAAAUCCAUCGUGAACUACUGUAUUACUAGCCAUCCGAUAUAAAUCCCACGGUGACUGCCCCGCCUUCGACCUCACCACCAACAGCACGCAAACAAAACUCGCACUCCUUCUCUAUCGUCUGCUAAACCCAGAGCGACGGCUGACCCAGCGGCAUCCUGCCCGGCUACGGUACCGCGCCAGCGCUCCAGGCCAUUAGCCUAUGCUCGAAAAGCAGAGGAAGAUAUCCCGCCAGAGGAGAUGCUCACCGCUGAUGAAGCGAACUGGUUGACGACGAUGCGUAGGCCCACGUCGAGGUGCAGGCACAACGGUCACAGCGAGCUCCGGCACCUGUGGCCACCACCGGUGGAGGGAAGAUCCACGCGCCAGAUGCCUGAUCUCGUGCUGGCGCAUGCGCAAGCAGUCUCCCUCGCAAAUUCCCUAGAAGGCGAGCGAUGCGUGGAACUCAGCUCCUACCCGG